rnacentral:rRNA from 1 species
AUUGAACGCUGGCGGCAGGCCUAACACAUGCAAGUCGAACGGUAACAGGAAGCAGCUUGCUGCUUUGCUGACGAGUGGCGGACGGGUGAGUAAUGUCUGGGAAACUGCCUGAUGGAGGGGGAUAACUACUGGAAACGGUAGCUAAUACCGCAUAACGUCGCAAGACCAAAGAGGGGGACCUUCGGGCCUCUUGCCAUCGGAUGUGCCCAGAUGGGAUUAGCUUGUUGGUGGGGUAACGGCUCACCAAGGCGACGAUCCCUAGCUGGUCUCAGAGGAUGACCAGCCACACUGGAACUGAUGCACGGUCCAGACUCCUACGGGAGGCAGCAGUGGGGAAUAUUGCACAAUGGGCGCAAGCCUGAUGCAGCCAUGCCGCGUGUAUGAAGAAGGCCUUCGGGUUGUAAAGUACUUUCAGCGGGGAGGAAGGGAGUAAAGUUAAUACCUUUACUCAUUGACGUUACCCGCAGAAGAAGCACCGGCUAACUCCGUG